rnacentral:misc_RNA from 1 species
UUAAAAGAUGCGGAGGAGUUAGUCGAAGAGUUUAGCAGAAGACUUGAAGUUUUUCUAGCACGUCCUACGCACGUUUUCUUGAGAUUUCGAUUGCACUAUUCGUUAGGUAUUUUUAGGUUCCUUUAGGUCGUCAUUGAAAAUUUAUUACUUCGUGAAAUUGGAAGAUUCGAAGAAGUAAAUAAAAAGGAUUAGUAGGAGAUUUGGAAUUCUCUUCGGAGGGAGGUCGUACAGGUUUUCUUGAGAUUUCGAUUGUGUUGUUUAAUCCUUCGCGAACUAUCGCCAAAUAUAGCCGUUCUGCGUAAGCAAUCAAUUUCGCCGAGAAAAUCAUACGCGUUCGCCCCCCCCCCCCAAAAAAAAAGAUUGAUAGAAUCAAAAGACUCAUAUGUAUGUUAUUUUAUUUAUCCCGUGGAGAAUCUGUGCAUGUACAUGUGUCUAGAAUUUGACAUCUAUGAACGAAAAGCGCGUUUAAGUAGAAAAGCACGUUUAAGUAGAAAAGCACGUUUAAGUAGAAAAGCACGCUGGCAAUUUUAAAUGAUUAUCGCGGGACUAGCUCGGCCCGACGGUACGGUCGACUUUGAACCGUUCCGUCCGCAAAGGUUUAACAGGUAUCUUCAGGUAUUUCUAGACGAUGAUGGAAGAUCGAUUCGAAUCGAUGAAUUAGAAAGAUGUGACAAAAUUAAUUGAAGAAUUUAAUAAAGAACUUGAAUUUUUUAUGAGCAUGUCAUACAGGUAUUUUUGAGGUUUCGUGUAUUUUUAGGCCACUCUGAUUUUUAAUUUCGAGGAUUCAUUCGUGUUGUCGGAUUUGAAAAUAAAUGCGAUAAAAUCGAUCGCUUCUUUAAAGAAUGAAGAUAAAUUGAUUCUAUAGACUCGCUCGUGUCACUUUCAAAAGAUCUCAGCU